UACAGAGGUCCCAAGCGUUGUUCGGAUUCACUGGGCGUAAAGGGUGCGUAGGUGGUGAGGUAAGUCGGAUGUGAAAGCUCGGAGCUCAACUCCGAAAUGGCAUUGGAAACUACCUUGCUCGAGGGUUGGAGGGGGGGACUGGAAUACUUGGUGUAGGCAGUGAAAUCGUAGAUAUCAAGUGGAACACCAGUGGCGAAAGGCGAAGUCCCCUGGGACAAC
rnacentral:rRNA from 1 species